rnacentral:rRNA from 1 species
AUUGAACGCUGGCGGCAGGCCUAACACAUGCAAGUCGAGCGGAGCGGCGGACGGGUGAGUAAUGCCUAGGACUCUGCCUGGUAGUGGGGGAUAACGUCCGGAAACGGGCGCUAAUAUCGCAUACUAUCAGAUGAGCCUAGGUCGGAUUAGCCAGUUGGUGGGGUAAAGGGCUACCAAGGCGACGAUCCGUAACUGGUCUGGGAGGAUGAUCAGUCACACUGGAACUGAGACACUGUCAAUAAGUCUACGGGAGGCAGCAGGGGGGAAUAUUGGACAAUGGGCGAAAGCUUGAUUCAGCAAUGCCGCGGGUGUGGAGAAGGUCUUCGGAUUGUAAAGCACUUGAAGUUGGGAGGCGUUACCAACAGAAUAAGCACCGGCUAACUUCGUGCCAGCAGGCGCGCUAAUAC